GACGAACGCUGGCGGCUUGCUUAACACAUGCAAUUCGAACGGAAAGGCCCUGCGUUUGUGGGUUUCUCGAUUGGCGAACGGGUGAGUAACCCGUGAGUAACCUGCCCUUUACUUUGGGAUAACUUCAGUUAACUGGGGCUCAUACCGGAUUGGAGCUCCUGCUGCAGGGUGGGGGUUGGAAAGUUUCGGCGGUUGGGGAUGGACUCGCGGCUUAUCAGCUUGUUGGUGGGGUAGUGGCUUACCAAGGCUUUGACGGGUAGCCGGCCUGAGAGGGUGAACGGCCACAAUGGGACUGAGAUACGGCCCAGACUCCUACGGGAGGCAGCAGUGGGGAAUAUUGCACAAUGGGCGGAAGCCUGAUGCAGCAACGCCGCGUGCGGGAUGACGGCCUUCGGGUUGUAAACCGCUUUCGCCUGUGACGAAGCGUGAGUGACGGUAAUGGGUAAAGAAGCACCGGCUAACUACGUG
rnacentral:rRNA from 1 species